rnacentral:rRNA from 1 species
AUUGAACGCUGGCGGCAGGCCUAACACAUGCAAGUCGAACGAGUGGCGGACGGGUGAGUAAUGUCUGGGAAACUGCCUGAUGGAGGGGGAUAACUACUGGAAACGGUAGCUAAUCCCGCAUACCAUCAGAUGUGCCCAGAUGGUAUUAGCUAGUAGGUGGGGUAAUGGCUCACCUAGGCGACGCUCCCUAGCUGGUCUGAGAGGAUGACCAGCCACAAUGGAACUGAGACACGGUCCAGACUCCUAGGGGCGGCAGCGGUGGGGAAUAUUGCAAAAUGGGCGCAAGCCUGAGGCAGCCAUGCCGCGUGUUUGAAGAAGGCCUUCGGGUUGUAAAGCACGUUCAGCGAGGAGGCGUUACUCGCAGAAGAAGCACCGGCUAACUCCGUGCCAGCAGCCGCGGUAAUAC